AAGAAUGAGUGACAGUAGAUAAUGUAAGCCUCGGCUAACUACGUGCCAGCAGCCGCGGUAAUACGUAGGAGGCAAACGUUGCUCGGAUUUACUGGGCGUAAAGGGUGAGUAGGCGGACUUAUAAGUCUAAGGUGAAAGACCGAAGCUCAACUUCGGGAACGCCUCGGAUACUGUAAGUCUUGGAUAUUGUAGGGGAUGAUGGAAUUCUCGGUGUAGCGGUGGAAUGUGCAGAUAUCGAGAGGAACACCUAUAGCGAAGGCAGUCAUCUGGGCAUUUAUCGACGCUGAAUCACGAAAGCUAGGGGAGCAAACAGGCUUAGAUACCCUGGUAGUCCUAGCCGUAAACGUUGUACACUAGGUGCUUCUAUAUAAAUAGGAGUGCCGUAGCUAACGUCUUAAGUGUACCGCCUGAGGAGUAUGCCCGCAAGGGUGAAACUCAAAGAAAUUGACGGG
rnacentral:rRNA from 1 species